UUUGCCGGCGAGCGGCGGACGGGUGAGUAAUGCCUGGGGAUCUGCCCAGUCGAGGGGGAUAACUACUGGAAACGGUAGCUAAUACCGCAUACGCCCUACGGGGGAAAGCAGGGGACCUUCGGGCCUUGCGCGAUUGGAUGAACCCAGGUGGGAUUAGCUAGUUGGUGAGGUAAUGGCUCACCAAGGCGACGAUCCCUAGCUGGUCUGAGAGGAUGAUCAGCCACACUGGAACUGAGACACGGUCCAGACUCCUACGGGAGGCAGCAGUGGGGAAUAUUGCACAAUGGGGGAAACCCUGAUGCAGCCAUGCCGCGUGUGUGAAGAAGGCCUUCGGGUUGUAAAGCACUUUCAGCGAGGAGGAAAGGUUGGUAGCUAAUAACUGCCAGCUGUGACGUUACUCGCAGAAGAAGCACCGGCUAACUCCG
rnacentral:rRNA from 1 species